rnacentral:tRNA from 1 species
GGGGUCGUGGCUCAGUGGUAGAGUGCUUGCCUCACAUGUAUGAGGCACUGGGUUAAAUUCUCAGCAACUCAU